UACGGAGGGGACUAGCGUUGUUCGGAAUUACUGGGCGUAAAGCGCACGUAGGCGGAUUUGUAAGUCAGGGGUGAAAUCCCGGGGCUCAACCUCGGAACUGCCUUUGAUACUGCAAAUCUCGAGUCCGGAAGAGGUGAGUGGAAUUCCUAGUGUAGAGGUGAAAUUCGUAGAUAUUCGGAAGAACACCAGUGGCGAAGGCGGCUCACUGGUCCGGUACUGACGCUGAGGUGCGAAAGCGUGGGGAGCGAACAGG
rnacentral:rRNA from 1 species